rnacentral:rRNA from 1 species
UACAGAGGGUGCAAGCGUUAAUCGGAUUUACUGGGCGUAAAGCGUGUGUAGGUGGCUCGCUAAGUCGGUUGUGAAAUCCCUGGGCUCAACCUGGGAAUUGCAGUCGAUACUGAUGAGCUCGAGUUCGGUAGAGGGUGACGGAAUUCCCGGUGUAGCGGUGAAAUGCGUAGAUAUCUGGAGGAACACCGGUGGCGAAGGCGACGUCCUGGACCGGCAUUGACGCUGAGGCGCGAAAGCCAGGGGAGCAAACGGG